rnacentral:rRNA from 1 species
CACGUAGGGCGCGAGCGUUGUCCGGAAUUAUUGGGCGUAAAGAGCUCGUAGGCGGCCUGUUGCGUCCGCUGUGAAAGCCCGGGGCUUAACCCCGGGUCUGCAGUGGAUACGGGCAGGCUAGAGGUAGGUAGGGGAGAAUGGAAUUCCCGGUGUAGCGGUGAAAUGCGCAGAUAUCAGGAGGAACACCAAUGGCGAAGGCAGCUCGCUGGGACGGUACUGACGCUGAGACGCGAAAGCGUGGGGAGCAAACAGG